rnacentral:rRNA from 1 species
UUUAUUGAGAGUUUGAUCCUGGCUCAGGACGAACGCUGGCGGCGUGCCUAACACAUGCAAGUCGAACGGACUUACAGACUUCGGUCUGUAAGUUAGUGGCGGACGGGUGAGUAACGCGUGAGCAAUCUGCCUUUCGGAGGGGGACAACAGUUGGAAACGACUGCUAAUACCGCAUAAAGUAUACUGAUCGCAUGGUUGGUAUACCAAAGAUUUAUCGCCGAAAGAUGAGCUCGCGUCCGAUUAGUUAGUUGGUAGGGUAAAGGCCUACCAAGACAUCGAUCGGUAGCCGGACUGAGAGGUUGAACGGCCACAU